AUUGUCAGCCUGAAUAGUACCCUAAAGGCACCAAAUUCCAUUUUAUUUUGGAAGCUAAACACAUCCAGCCCUGGUUAGUACUUGAAUAGGAAACCACCAAUGAAUGCCUGGUGCUGUAUGUU
rnacentral:rRNA from 11 species